CUCCACAUGAACACAAACAAUUAGAAGGGCUUGCCAACCACAUCUGUCUGCUCAUCUAUGCCUAUUCCCACAGGUUCUGACUUCCUGCCACCGGAAUCAAAGUUUCAAAGAAUAAUUCCCGGACCCCGGGGUGUUUGCAGGACCCUAGUAAGGUUCUAUAAGAACUGUCGGGUGAACGGAUCGCAGUCAUAAAUGAAGAAGGUCCUCCCCAGGAUGCCAGAAGAGGAUGCCGGAGACCCUGGAAACUGGAGUUACAGGCAGCUUGGCUAUGAGCCACCAUUCGGGUGCAGUCUCUGGAAGACCAGCCAGUGCUCCUAACCACUGUACUCUCUCUCUCUAGCCCGCUGUCUGCUGAUUUUCAGAAAAUUUCCCCUUCUCUUGUUAAGAAUAAAGAGCUCUAAGCCUCUAUAAGGAAGCAACUGGAAUUAGUGUUAACACAAAAUGUAUUAACAUAAUUUAAUAACGUAUUAAAUGUAUUAAUAUUAAAACGUAUUAAUAUA